GACGAACGCUGGCGGCGUGCCUAAUACAUGCAAGUCGAGCGGACGAAUCGAAAGCUUGCUUUUGAUUCGUUAGCGGCGGACGGGUGAGUAACACGUGGGCAACCUGCCCUGUAGACGGGGAUAACACCGAGAAAUCGGUGCUAAUACCGGAUAACACGAAAUGUCGCAUGACGUUUCGUUGAAAGACGGCGCAAGCUGUCGCUACAGGAUGGGCCCGCGGCGCAUUAGCUAGUUGGUGAGGUAACGGCUCACCAAGGCGACGAUGCGUAGCCGACCUGAGAGGGUGAUCGGCCACACUGGGACUGAGACACGCCCCAGACUCCUACGGGAGGCAGCAGUAGGGAAUCUUCCGCAAUGGACGAAAGUCUGACGGAGCAACGCCGCGUGAGCGAAGAAGGCCUUCGGGUCGUAAAGCUCUGUUGUUAGGGAAGAACAAGUAACGCAGUAACUGGCGUUACCGUGACGGUACCUAACGAGAAAGCCACGGCUAACUACGUG
rnacentral:rRNA from 1 species